CUAUUUGCCCAAGGAGACUAAAUCGAGAACCAUAUAAAAAUAAGUAACCUAAAAUUAGCAAGUGGUUAUUUUUAGGUCAGAGGGAAGAACUGUUACUGAACAUAUUAAUUACAGAGAUAAACACACUGAAGCCAGAAGAUUACAUGACUCGUCCAAAUUCACACAGUAAGUAAAUGCAGAGAUGGAAAUGGCAGGAGACCGAGAUUCUUGUCACUUACCCAAGAAUUCUUGUGUUUGAACCAUACUCAUCACCAUCUGUGCUAUUUCAGUAGGUUCUGGUUGGAGAAAACGUUACAGAGGCCACAAACCUCAUCCAUAUACUCAAUUCAUUAGGCCUUGCUAGUUUCACACACACUAAAAAGAUUAAAAAUAUGUCUGUUUGUUUAAGUCAAAGUCAUCAGAAAUGACAAUCUGGGUUGUGUGUGAUUCAGCUCUGGUUGCUGAUGGAGUCUUUUGGGCAGUAUUAGUGGUGGGAGAGAAGACCUGACAUACCAGAGGCCUCUGUACCCUGCGAUCAUGACUGGCAGGAGGCAGCCAUGUGAUCCACAUUCCAAUUUAAAGUAUGUUUCUUUCCCUACUGCCAACUGUUCUAAUUGUGAAUGCUUCCUACGCUCUACCCAUCCCCCUUUAUUUUACUACAAUAUCCCCCUUUAUCAGCAAUUUUGUUUUCUAUCAUUUCAGUUACCCAUGGUACACUACAAUAAGAU
rnacentral:lncRNA from 10 species